UCACGUCCCCUGCAUCGGCAGGCGGGCUCUCAACCACUGCGCCACCAGGGAAGCCCCCAAUAACUUUUUAGUAUAAGUGAAUCCCAGAUAUUGCAUGGGAAAUACUUAUACUAAAAACUGUUUGAAUUACAGAUAAGGAAAAUAAUCUUGAGUGUAAGUAUAUGGCCCAAUAUUCCGUGGGAUAUACUUACGCCAAAAAUGGAUUUAUUGUUUACCUGAAAUUUGGAUUUGGCUGGAGGCUCUAUAUUUUUAUUUGCUAAACCUGGCAGCCCUAUCUAGGGAGGUGCGUGUAUUGAUUGUAAGGAGAGAUGCAUUAAGUGCAAAUUUCAGUCACAUUUCUCAGGGGUCUAAGGAAUGAGCCUUUAUUAUUUCUGUACUUCAAUUUAAUCUCUCUUUUGAGCCUACAGUCCCACUGAUGGCAGAAACUAGGUUAAUUCAGGUUAAUCUCAUCAGUUUAGUUUGUUUUCAGUCAAUUCAGGAUUUUUUUCAGUCAAGUGAGGCUUUGUGACCUUGCUGUGUCCCUGUUGGGUUGUGCUUGGAUCUGAGGGCCUUGGUGCUGUGUCCUUGGUUGUCAUCUGUUCCUGCCAUCUUCCACCAAGGGGGUCGUGGCUCCACAUGGUCCACAGACACCGACGUGCCCCCAUUUUUGGCAUCCUCGGGGAUUCCUGUGGUCGCGUCUGUUCUUGGGUUGUUCCAUCUGUGCUGCCAUCUGCUGCCAUGUUCCCUCAUCCUCACACGCACCCCUCAGCUCCCUUCUGCACUCUUCUUGAGCCUACAGUCUUGUAGGUACUCAACAUUCCCAACAGAGGAUGUCACCACUCACUGCCCCACUUGGAGGCCCAGGCCCUAUAGGUCUCCCCCACUGUCCCCACAGCCAUUUCUCCUCUCUGGUUCUUCCUGGUGGCAUUGGGAAAUCUGCAAAGCUGCUGCCUUCCAGGCUUCCGAUGGGAAGCAGAGCUCAGGUCCUCCCUACUAUCGGGUCUCAGAAGCAUCCAGAGGCCAGUCUCUCCCUGCUGCAAGCUACCUUGGGUUCAGGGGAGGGCACAGGCCCCUUCUCAGAAACCCACUUAUACAACUUGAUUGCUUUCUCUCUCUCUCUCUCUCUCUCUGUCUCUGUCUCUUUUUUAACACCUUUCUGAGUUCAGCAAAAUCUCUUUUCUUCCUGUGUGGGGAAAAUAAUCUUUAGAUCUUCCUGUAAUUGUCUGAGUCUAUUUUUUGUGGUUAAAAAAAAAAUUAUUCCAGGAGUUGGCCAGGAAUCUGUCUUUUGAUAUUCAACUAUCAGGCUUUCGAGAGCCCAAGCUUGUUCUCGUGAGCCAUUGGCUCUACCAUGAGCUUCAGAAGUCUCUUGAAACCUGAGUUUUUCUCUCUUCAUUUCUGCUGUAACAACCUUCUUCUAAGUGAAUUAGAAUGCAGCAGUGAUGGGGAGGCAGGGCUGCGGAGAGAGAAGCAGAAGAUGUUGGGAAUGAAAGACCCGUGGUUUGGUGCUGCAGCAUAUCGUCCUGUCCCAUUGUUUUGCUCUAGAGUUUGCAUUUCUGCAAAGAAAGUGAACUUCAAGUUUACUGUGCCCUCCCCCACCUACAAGGAGGUGGAAACAAGGUCUCUGUGCCCAGGGAAGAAUCAUUCAGGUAGAGCCACCCACGGCUGUGCCCUUGGCUAUCCCCACGUCUCCAGGAUUGUGCAGGAAAGCCCGGUCCUCCUCUCCAGGCACUGCUCUUUUUCCAGGUGACUUUCUUCCUCCCAUUGCUGCCCACUGACCCCCACUCAGGCCCAGGGAGCUCAGCCACAGGUACGGGAAGAGCUUGGUUAAACUGGGGUAAACCUCGCAGGAAGCUUGUGCAGUUGGGUCUGAACAGCUGUCUCUGCUGAAAGAUUGCAGGUAUUGGGGGCUCAUUCCCCAAUCCUAGCAUAGGAAAUCAAUUUUGAAUGGUAGACCUUGCUGUCAUUUCUCUCCGUGGUCUUAAGGAUCUCUUUAGAGUUGGUUGAUCCAGUGGGAAAUCCAGCUACAGUGGAAAAAAUCUGAGAGUCAGGUGAGUAAUGAGUGGCUGGCUCAUGUGUGUGUGACUGUGUGGCAGGACAGCCACCAUACAGAAAACCCUCUCACACCCAUACGUGCAAAUCUGAUGUUGGAAAUCUUAAUAAAGACUGCUCAGCAGAAAUGCUAAGUGUCAUAACUGGCAGGCUUGCCAGUUUGUAACCGUAGCUGACACAGAUGGAGUUGUGACAAUGUAGGUGAUAACUGUCAACUUAAAAAAACUGCACAACGUGAGAGUUGCGAGUUAAGUUUUAUUUGGGGCAAAAUGAGGACUAUAGCCCAGGAGACAGCAUUUCAGAUAGCUCUGAGAAACUGCUCUGAAGAGGUGUGGGGAAGGUCAGUAUAUAUGUGAUUUCGGUGAAGGGGGAGUACAUGUGAUCAAGCACACACACAUAUAUAUAUAUAUAUAUAUUUUUUAACAUGUUUAUUGGAGUAUAAUUACUUUACAAUGGUGUGUUAGUUUCUACUUUAUAACAAAGUGACUCAGUUAUACAUUUGUUCCCAUACCUCUUCCCUCUUGGGUCUCCCUCCCUCCCACCCUCCCUAUCCCACCCCUCUAGGUGGUCACAAAGCACCGAGCUGAUCUCCCUGUGCUAUGCGGCUGCUUCCCACUAGCUAUCUGUUUUACGUUUGGUAGUGUAUAUAUGUCCAUGCCACUCUCUCACUUUGUCACAGCUUACCCUUCCCCCUCCCCAUAUCCUCAAGUCCAUUCUCUAGUAGGUCUGUGUCUUUAUUCCCGUCUUGCCCCUAGGUUCUUCAUGACCUUUUUUUUUCUUCUUCUUAGAUUCCAUAUAUAUGUGUUAGCAUACGGUAUUUGUUUUUCUCUUUCUGACUUACUUCACUCUGUAUGACAGACUCUAGGUCCAUCCACCUCACUACAAAUAACUCAAUUUUGUUUCUUUUUAUGGCUGAGUAAUAUUCCAUUGUAUAUAUGUGCCACAUCUUCUUCAUCCAUUCAUGUGUCGAUGGACACUUAGGUUGCUUCCAUGUCCUGGCUAUUGUAAAUAGUGCUGCAGUAAACCUUGUGGUACAUGACACUUUUUGAAUUAUGGUUUUCUCAGGGUACAUGCCCAGUAGUGGGAUUGCUGGGUCAUAUGGUAGUUCUAUUUUUAGGUUUUUAAGGAACCUCCAUACUGUCCUCCAUAGUGGUUGUAUCAAUUUACAUUCCCACCAACAGUGCAAGAGGGUUCCCUUUUCUCCGCACCCUUUCCAGCAUUUAUCGUUCGUAGAUUUUUUGAUGAUGGCCUAAAUGGCCAAUUCUUAUCCUGCAGCCCCCCUACGAGCAAGUGUUUUAAUUAAUGAGUGGCCUUCCCUAUGGGACCACUGCACAGUAUGAGGACUCUGCGUCCAUCACUCCCGUAAAUUUCUCAGUUGCCUGAGAAAGCAGUAACCGGCCAGGAGAAAACUUGUCCCUUUUCUUCAGAGCAAAGCUCUCAUGUAAUAUCUUCACUUUUAUCCUGACAAAUUCUAUUAAGGCAGCUGAUUUGAGGAAAAGCAUCAGAUCAGCCUCUCAGCUGAUCCACCACUCAGCACAGACCACUCAGUCUCCUACAACUGGCAAACCCUGGUAUCGUUCAACCAGUGCCCCCCCCCCAAGUAUCUUUCACCUGGGUGGGUAUUGCCUGGAAUCUUUCAACUAGCCCCCUGCCCUCCCCGCCAGUAUCUUUCAACUGGGAGAGGCAGGUACCUGCUCUACACCGCCAACUACAGCUCUGGAUCAUCAGCCAAUAUGGGAGAUCCGAGAACCAGGAGAGAUUCACCCAAAUUUGUCUGGACUCUACGAGGCGGCGGAUGGGUGCAAGGGGACUCUGCUGGUACCAAGGCUCUGGUCCCUUGCAGAGUUCAGGCAAAGGAGAGAAGUCCACUCUGGGUCCUUUCAUGGUCGCCAUAAAACUGUCGACUUAAAAAAACUGCACAACAUGAGAGGUGCAAGUUAGGUUUUAUUUGGGGCAAAAUGAGGACUAUAGGCCAGGAGACAGCAUUUCAGAUAGCUCUGAGAAACUGCUCCGAAGAGGUGGGGGUCAGGUCAGUAUACAUGUGAUUUUGGUGCAGGGGGAGCACAUGCAACCAAGCACACAUUCUUCGCAGAAGGUUUCUGCUACUCUUGUGAAGGUUACUGCUAGUCACGAGGCGCAACGUCACCAUGAAGGAUUUUAGUGCUUUUCUAGAUACGAGGAGAUGCAAGAAUUGGGCUCAUAAAAUCUUCUGAAAAUAUCUGACCAUCUGAUGUCCUGUUCUGCCAGUUUUUCCCAGAGCACAGAGGACCUCAUUUCUGCUCUCCACCCUGAGCUCCUUUCAGGGGUGUUGAUGGUCAGCAGCUGCAGCGGCUCAUGGUUUGAUCCUUGUAGAGGUAGCUGGCAAGUGCUAAUGGCAAGUGCCAGUUUGUUGUUGACACUAUACAGAUACACAGAUUUAUAGAAAGAGGUUUAUUAUGAGGGUUUGGCUCAUGCAGUUAUGGAGGCCGAGGAGUCCUAUGAUCUGCUGUCCGCAAGCUGGAGGCCCAGGAAAGCCCACGGUGUAUACGGCUGUAGUCCAGGUCCAAAGGCCUGAGAACCAGGGGAGCCAGUGGUCUAAGUCCCAGUCCAUGAAGGUCCGAGAACCAGGAGUGCUGACGUCUGAAUGCAGAAGAAGAUAAAUGUUCCAGCUCAAGCAGAGAGCAAAUUCGCCUGUCCUCUGCUUUUUUUUUCUGUUCAGGCCCUCAUCCCACUUGCUUUGGUGAGGGCUGGCAAUCUGUUUUAUUCAGUCCACCAAUUUAAAUGCUUAUCUCUUCCAGAAACACCGUCACAGACACGCCCAGAGGUAAAGUUUUGCCAGCUAUCUGGGCCCCCCUUAGCCCAGUCAGUGAACAUGUAAAAUUAACCAGCACAGGGGUUUCCAUAUCCUCCUCAAGAGGUUAUGUUGUAAAAAGAUAACAUUAAAUGCAGUGUUCGGUACGAAAAUGUUUUUGUAUACUUUAAGCAUUGUGUUUAACACUCCAAAUCUUGGAGUCAGGAUAAUAUUUGUCCCAGUUCUCUUUUUCUCUCAUUUCCCUACCCACUUUACCAAUUUACUACCCACAAAAUGCCUUUGCCCCACCCACUGGGGGAGGGGAGUUGUCUUUUAAGCACCACACAUGCCAUCUGGGCAGAUCUGCACAUUUUAGACCAGCUAGCACGGCGCCUCUCCAAGUGGGUAGAUGACCUAAAAUUCAUUUCAGCGGAAAUGCAGAAUGGUAAUUUGAACAAUGGGCUCCCUUUUUGUUAUAUUUCUUCUGAAGAGCUGGGCUUAGCGUGUCAUCCAGCUGUGCGUCCCAUUUGUCUUGCAAGAAAAAGUGUCAAGCAGGAAAUUAAAAAUACUUCUAUUUCAGUUUUCAAGAAUAUAUGUCACCAAGACUGAAUGAAGCAAAACCUUUUUUUUUAGAGAAGGUUGUUUCUGGGUAUUAUGAUCUACUGGAACCAUUUCUCUUUGGAAACGCAGUACAGUAAUCUUGGCUCCAAAAUCCAAUUUGCUUUCAAUUUGCUCGGCUCCCCCUUGCCGUAUAUGAGAUGCAGGCAGCAGAUUAACUUCUCCAAAAUGCAUGCCCUCAAAUAUUUCAAAGUGCUUACUUAAGCAGUAACCAUGGUGUAUAUUUAAAACUGAAAGGUAGGUUACAAAUGUUUCCUUGGGGGAGGGGGCAGACAACAUGAAAAGUCAACAUGCUGACAAAGUUUCUCAGAGUCUAGGUCAGUGAUCAUAGCUGUAACUAAUUCUUGAUGAAUUCUGACUGCCUUCUAAGAGGAUAUAUUUUUAAUAUUUCAGGGUUUUUUCCAGCUACCUUGACUUUUGUUGUCUCUAAUUAUGGCCACUGAGCUGUUAUCUGUUUGCUAUAGUGUCUUCAUAGGCUAAAAAGUCAGAUGUGUUCUACUGUAACUGAUUUUUAUUUUAUUAAAAAUUUUUUUUAAUUAAAAAGUAUUUUAUUGGAGUGUAGUUGAUUUACAAUGUUGUGUUAAUUUCUGCUCUAUAGCAAAGUAACUGUAACUGAUUUUUAAAUAGGUGUAAUCACUCCCGCCAGAGAGAGCGGUCCAUAUGCCUUUCAGAACCCAACGAAUCACAAGAGAGCCUAUCUCCACCGAAUCUUGGUCAAAUACUUCCAAAGGCAAACAGCUUUCUGGAGAGUGUAUCAAGAGCCGCCUUGGCACAUGAAGAUGAGCGGCUGCUGGGAGGAUUUGUGCAGCCUUCUCUCAAGUCCUAGUGCUGGAACGCAGACUUUUUGAGGUUACUGCCACUGACAGAUGCCGAUUAAUGUCCUUUACUGUGAGAUUUCUGAAGCUUCUGGGCAAGACCAAUGAAGCAGAAGAGUUAUUCUUGAGUGUUGAGAACAUGUUAGUGCAGAUCUGCUGCCGGAAACGCUUCUCUUGCAAAGAUGAAAUUUCAAGAAGGCUUAAAUAUCAGGAGGAGUUUGGUGAGAAAAACCUCCUAGUUGGAGAAAUUAUGGAAUUUUUAGCGGAUUUACUGUUUUUCCCACUGAGACAUAGUGAAAGGGCAGAAGUUGAAGACGCAUGGAAACAUCCCACUGCAACCUUUUACUCCAUUUGGGACAAUGAUUGACAACUUUCUCCCUCCCCAGUCUGUUUAUAGACACACAUUUAUUGAAAGAACGAGGAAACAAGCUUAAUUUCUCAAACUGAAGGACUUCUGACAAACUUUAGACAUGGCGUAUUUAUCAAAGAAAAAGAAACUUGCAACAGAGAACCUUUAAAUCCUGCAUAAUCCUCCUUCCUCAUUACACAUUGGCAGCCUGUCUUCUGGAUGGAGAAUAUAGGCUGUGAUUGUCUCCACUUCUUUACCCAUUUACUCCCAGCACAGUGGGGAAGCUCAUUGUUGGGCAGGGUCCACAGAGUCUGGACUCAUUCAGGGACACUUCCUGAGGCUCUCCACCAACACCUGCGAUUUUCCUUGUUACCUGGUGACAACAACCUGAAUUAUAGUUGUGGGCCCUGGGGAGGAAAUGAACACAGGACUGGCAUUGUAAAAAUCUACCUGUUAGUUGACAGCAAAUAUAAUACGAAGCAAGAGGAAUAGGCUUACAUUUCAGUAGAAUAAAGAUUAGACAAAGUUGUACUUUAGAAGAUUACUUAAAAGGGCAGUGGACUGUCUUUGGAUAAAAUAUCUUUCUUUUUCCAGAGGAAAUAAUAAAGAUACUACUUUAUUUUUUAAUAUUAAGCACUGAAAAAAAGGGGUAAACUAGGAAAACUUACCAUUUAAAAUCUGAGAACACAUUUUUCAAGGAAGUUAGUUAGUGGGACCUUCCCUCAUUCUCAUCCCUGAUUCACAGUACCUUGGAAAUAGGGUAGGUGUGGCUGUCCAGAUGUAGAAAAUGGAAAAGAUAACAGAUGGUUCCUGUCUAGCUGUGGUUUUAUAGAAAAAUCUCCUAAGGAACCAACGUGAGAGGGAGAACAGUGUUCUCGUUUCCCACCUCUAGAACUUAUGGUCCUUGGAUCUAGGGACCUGGGUUUAAGUCCCAGUUCUGCUAUUUUCUGGGCUUGUGGACAUAAACUCUCUGAGUCUCAAGUUUCUUGGUAGCCAAAAGGGGAUAAUAAUCUCUGCCUCUAGGGUUAUUCUGAAGAUUUAAUGAGAUGUUAUAUGCAAAACAACCAACAGACUCUGCAAUUAAAUAUUAGGUUCCCUCCUCGUCCAGAAUGAAGAUUUGAAGUGGGAAGGAGGUUCAGUGACCUCUUUCCUGUGGAAAUGAACUCAUCCUGGACUUUCCUUUUCUCUGGGUUGAAAGGACUGACCUGGCUGGGUAGUGCUGUCCAGCUGGUACCGACCCUGAGGGAAGAUGGGGUGGGCUGGGGUUGGCCUGAGCUAAGAAUGUCCUUUCCUGGCAACUACUGUGCUUUUGCUGCCAGAAAGAGAUAGGUUGUGUUCAAGAAAGUGCUGAGGUCAAAGCUAUCAGUACAGGUCCAGAUGGUUCAUGAGGGUGCCAAGAGGUAGUGUGGGGAGCACAGGCAUGAAAUAGUGUCUGUGAAGGGCAUCAGCAGCUGGUCUGGGUGACAGUCUCAAUCUCCAGCAAGUCAGAGCCUCUUAAAGGGCCUUCAGGCAGAACGAACAGUCUGCGGGCCUGGUUAUUGGCAUCCAGAGGAACUCUGAGAAUGAGUUCCUGCCUAGCCAGACCUGAGACAUUCUGACUCUAUUCUUCCCCACUUUACCUCUUAAAGCCUGUUAAGGCCAAUGCUACGUGGUCAUCCUGAGCUGGGUAAUUCACAAGUGCUUUCUGCUGAGUUAUGUUGGGGCAACUGAGAACCUCAUAGAGAGUCAUGAAAAUAAUUCACACAGAAGAAAAAUAGCCCUUGAUUGCUAAGUGGAGCCAACAGCUGGAACUCCCCUUCAGAUUUUCAGCAGGUGCUGUGGGCAAUGUGAGAUCUGUGCUAUGACCCAUGAAGCAGAGCUACAAGAGAGAACAUCUCUGCAAACAGAAGCCGUAGCGUGGAUCCUCAGAAGGACAAUCCAGUAUGGGGUGAAGAGGCAGCCUAGCAUAGCAGUAAAGGGCAUGGGCUUGUGGAUGAGGCUGACCCAGGAUCGUUCUACCACAAACUGGAGUGACUUACUUGACCUCUUUCAGUUUUCUCAUCUUUAAAAGUCAAUGAACGUGCACAAAAAAUUCUCUGGAAGGAUACACGUUUUAGAAGAAGACUGCACAGAUGAAGACCAAGAUGGGAGAGACAGUUUUUACUUCAUACCUUUAUACAUUUUCAUUUUUGAAUCAUGUGGAUAUGCAUCCUAUUAAAAAGAAUAAAUGACAAAAAUAAAAGACAAGUGAUGAUAGUUUAUACCUUUCAGGAUAACACAAGCCUGAUAGAUAGUACUCAGCUAAUUUGCAGUGUUUAUUAUUAUUAAUAUUAAUACAGGGAUGCUGGGUCACCUGCCAGUGUUUUUUACCUUUAAAUACCCAGCAGUCUCUUAUCAUGUAUCCAGAUUGAUGCCCUACAUGCACGGGGCUUACAUUAUGUUUAUAAUCAAUGGUAUAAAUUUAGCCCCUUAAAAGUCAUGUACGGACUUCCCUGGCGGUCCAGUGGUUAAGACUCCACGCUCCCAAUGCAGGGGACCCGAGUUUGAUCCCUGGUCAGGGAACUAGAUCCGCAUGUGGCAACUAAAGGUCCAGAAACUAAAAGAUCCCGCAACUAAAAGAUCCGGCACGUGGCAGUGAAGAAUGAAUGAAUGAAUGAAUAAAUAAAUAAAUAUUUUUUUAAAAAGCAGUCUUGUAAAUGGGUAAAAUGAGUAAAUGAGUGCCACUUGCAAAUUGACUAAUUUUUUUUUUUUACUUUUCACACAUUUUAGAGAAUUACAUUAAAUUAUUGACAAUGGCACAUGGCACUGUAUAAUGAACACCUAUAUACCCUUUAUCUUUAGUCACCAGCUGUUAACACUUUGGUCAUACUUAUGUUUUCUUUCAUAUACGCACACAUACACAUGCAUACAUAUAUAUUUGUUUUCUGGACUAUUUGAAAGUUAGUUGCAGAUGUGACACUUUUAUCUCUAAAUACUUCAGCAUGUGUCUUCUGAGAACAGGACAUUCCCCUACAUAACCACAGUACAAUGAUCAAACCCAGGAAAUUUAACCAUUACAUAAGAGUAUUAUCUAAUGUACAGUCCAUAUGCAAAUGUUCCCAAGUGUCCCUCCCAGUAAAUGUUCUUUAUAGCUGUUUGCUUUUUGAUCCAGAAUUCUGUUGAGGAUCUUCCACUGCAUUUGGUCGUCUCCUUUAGUCUAGAACAUUUAAGUAGGGCUUGUUUUGCCUUUCAUGACACAGUUUUGAAGAGCCUAAGUCAGUUUCUACCCUACCCUCCCUGCCCCAAUGUGCUUCAGUUUGUAUCUGUUUUUUUUUUUUUUUUUUUUUUUUUUUGCGGUACGCGGGCCUCUCACUGCUGUGGCCUCUCCCGCUGCGGAGCACAGGCUCCGGACGCGCAGGCUCAGCGGCCAUGGUUCACGGGCCCAGCCGCUCCGCGGCAUGUGGGAUCUUCCCGGACCAGGGCACGAACCCGUGUCCCCUGCAUCGGCAAGCGGACUCUCAACCACUGCGCCACCAGGGAAGCCCUGUAUCUGUUUUUUGAUAAUUAGACUCAGGUUAAUUGUUUUUGGCAGGAAUACUACAACAGGUGAUGUUCCAAUGCCACUUUUAUAAAUGUUUUUUAUCCUUUUAAAUGUGUGAAGCCAGGAGUCAUUUAAAAAUUUCUAAUAUUCUUAUUUUCAAAUAUCCAGCAGGUCAAUUAUUGAUAAGUGACUCUUCAAGUCGUGAUGGAGGCUGUGGGCUAUUUGUACAGAUCACUUGAUUUAAGGGCCACCUACCUGGGAUCUUCUCAUUCAUCGAUCAGUGGGAUCCUGCACCUCCUGAGGGACACUGAGUGGAUCCGGGGUAGGAGAUGUUGGCCUCAAGGCAUGAGCCAGCAAUAUUCUGAGGGUCCCAGGAAUGGCGCCUCAUUAUGGGAGGACUUGAUUAAGUUAAACUAUCACAGCGCUCAGAGUUCUGACACGGUGAGCUCGGCAGUGUGCACCAGGGCAGAUAAGCUACAGGGGGCUAAAAGCUUGGACUUGGUGCCUCAUACAAUUUCAGAUAAAUCAAAAUAUGCUUCAGGACAAGGGAAAAAGUUCUUGAGACCCAUUAUUUCCGUUUCUGCUGAGGAAAAGACAUGACUGAAGACACAAAGUAAUGUUGCAAUAUGGCAUGAAAGAUUGUUCCUCUAAGAUUUUAUCUUUGGGUAAAAUGGAUGGUGCAGUAAAGCUUUCACGGCAAAGGAUUUUGUCAGCUAAAAGCGAGAGUGAAAAAUGCCAAAUUACCGCAGUUUACCAGCAUCCCCUGCUAGGGUCUCUUAGCACAAAUAAUCCCUGGGAAUCCUUAUAUGAGCUCAUCUCAGAGAAGUGGCUUUUUCAUAGCCCAGAUUACAGUUCAAUUUCUCAGAAGUGUUUUUUGCAGAGAAGAUCUCAGUUUGAAACAAAAUUGAUGAAGUCCUCAAAUGAUACUAAUAAAGAAUAAAAAUUAUCACGGGC